UUACUCCCUCGUCCUACCUGCUGCCGUCAUCUCCUCCUCUUCCCCUCUCUCCCUCUCGUAGCGCCUCCACCUCGACUUCCUUCUCUUGGUCGUCCACGCAUCCAGCGAGGGGCAUGGUUCCAGAUCGGGCGUUGCCAUGGAGAGCAGGGGCGGCAGGACGGUUGGCUGAAGGAGCCGGGGAGGCCUGCGGUCGGGGGAAGGAGCAGCAAGGCCUGAGACGAGGAGAAGCCAGCGAUGGCGACAAGAAGCAGCAGUGGCAGCGCUCCAUGUCGGCGGCCCUCUCCAUCUUCCCUGCAGCUCCAUGACCGGUGGCAGGCGGGAGGAGUAUAGACCGACCCUGUUCGUCAUGGAGGCCCUUCUGACGCCGCGAGCCAGGGGACUCCGCCCUGCUCAACCCGAGGGCGCCGCCCCUUCCCCACCCAUGGCGGAGGAGGGUGGCGGCACAGACCAGUGGAGGGGAAUGGGAAGAUGUGAGAUGUGGCUCGGGGGAGCAAAGGGGAGGACGACGGCGAGAAAAUUGAUGAUCUAUGUGUGUUGAGAACUUCGCUGCAGGUCAAAGAGACAUGGAUCCUUGACAAACAGAGUUUGGUGGAUGUGCAGCCUUUUGUCAUUCUGGUGUAUUUUCAUUGCAAAUAACAAGAAGGCAAUCUCAACUUGUUCAUUGAUCUCUUCCAGACCAUGGUUCAUACAUCUAUGAUUGCAACUGCCAAUUAAAACAAUAUGACGUACAAUAAUACAGGUUGCACAUCUGAUACUGAAGUUUCAUGGUUCCAGACAGAGGUAUGCAACAUAAACACUUGAGCAGUCCUUUUUGUUUCUCAAAUUUUCAUCCAUUAUUUGUUAUCUGAUACUGAAGUUUCAUGGUUCCAGGGGAUGCCAAAUUUCUAUAGUUACUUAUUUUCUCAAUCCAAAAGACAUACCUUCAGUAUAUUGUACUCCCUCCGUCCCAAAAUAAGUGUCUCAACAUUAGUACAAGUUAGUACAAAGUUGAGCCACUGAUUUUGGGACAUGGGGAGUAUAUAUAACUAAUUGUCUAGAACUAUUUUUGCUUUUUGUAAAGAAGCAGUGCAUACCAUGUCAUAAUUGAGAUGAUGGUUUCAUAUUGGAAAUAUAUGGUGCAUUCAUACAAGAGCCCAUGCUGGGCAGACUUAUUUCUCCGUGGCAUGGGUUUAAAUGUAGUAACUUGUGUUUAUGCUUUACUUUCCGGUGCUUAGCAGUGCCCUUGUCAAGUAUAUAGGGACGGAAAAUGCUAUUCAUCAUGACAAUCUUAGGCGAUGUUCAGCAAAAAUUGAGGCACUAUACCGACUAAAUGUUCAGGCUUUCUCCAAACAGCGGAGAUUCAAGGUGAUUAAUAGUCAAAUAGAACUUCUCUCCAUUCGUGUCUAAAGAGAAGGUAUAAGUGAUGGUCGGCCUGGUGAUGAGGGCAUCAAGACAAAGUGAUUAAUUCGCAACUCUGUUCUUGAUUGGUUUUUACAAAUACACAAGGUACUACCGUUUCCUUCUAUGUUUAAAUGGCUUUGUGAGCACAACUAUUUGGAAAUUCUGCGAUUCAUGGUGGAAGCAAGCAUCUUUGUUUUCCCGGCCGAAAAUACUUAGUUUCAUAGAUUUUCUGAGUCGACCAUUUCUUAGAUUUUCUGAGUUAAGAGCUGAAUUGAGCAUUUCUUAGAUUUCCUGAGUUCAGAGCUUUUAUUAUCUCUUCGGUAAUCUGUAGAAGUUUACUUUUCCUGUGGUGUCCAUUCAUUUCGAAAGCUAUUUGCAUGCACACUGGCAUGUCAUUGUUUGUGUGCCCCCUUACUGCUUCUUACUCCAUUUAUAAGUGGUGAAAAAUAUUUUCCCCAGUUGAAUUUUAUGUAUGAAGCCUCUUGUUGAAAGGCCUUCUUCUAUUGCAUACUGACGUUUGCAUUGCAUGAUAAAGCUAUAUCAACACUGCUCUUUGUUUUGUUGUUCACUUUUGUAUUUCCCUUUGGAAAUGACAAAAGUGGGGUUUUCUUUUGUAGCUUGCUGGAUUUCUUAGUUAGGGGAAGUUGUUUAAUAAAUGAUAUUGCCAGUAUUUUGCCUACAUGGCUAAAGAAGAAACCAAACCAAGGAAAAUCUGGAUUUUUUUUAUAGUAUCCCACAUAAUGCAAAACAAUCGAUCAAGAUUUUACACAUAACUUGAUUCAUUCGUGUUUUGUUUAUUUGUGUUCUGGUACUAGCACAGUUGGUGACUUAAGCUUCAUCAAUAUCAGAUGUUCUUUUUUUCUUGCUUGCACAGUUGGUGACUUGAGCUUCAUCAAUAUCAGUUGUUUUUUUCAUUCGUAAACAGAGUAGCAUCACACGAGUUCCAAGUUUUAUGGCAGGUUAUUGUAAUGUAUCUUCAGAGAUGUACAUUAGAGAAAUUGUCAGCCAACAAUUGAAUUAGGUAUACAUGAAGCUAUAUAUAUAUUUACUAAUCAAUCAUUUCCCUUA